AGGACGAACGCUGGCGGCGCGCCUAACACAUGCAAGUCGAACGAAGCUAAGAUUGCGGAAGUUUCGGAUGGAAGUGAACUUAGCUUAGUGGCGAACGGGUGAGUAACACGUGAGUAACCUGCCCUUCAGUGGGGGACAACAGUUGGAAACGACUGCUAAUACCGCAUAAGACCACAGUGCCACAUGGCACAGUGAUCAAAGGAUUAAUUUUCGCUGAAGGAUGGACUCGCGUCUGAUUAGCUAGAUGGUGAGGUAACGGCCCACCAUGGCAACGAUCAGUAGCCGGACUGAGAGGUUGAUCGGCCACAUUGGGACUGAGACACGGCCCAGACUCCUACGGGAGGCAGCAGUGGGGGACAUUGCACAAUGGAGGAAACUCUGAAUGCAGCGACGCCGCGUGAGGGAAGAAGGUUUUCGGAUUGUAAACCUCUGUCUUCGGGGACGAAACAAAUGACGGUACUCGAGGAGGAAGCCACGGCUAACUACGUGCCAGCAGCUGC
rnacentral:rRNA from 1 species